UCCCAGUUAGUACAAUGGUUAGUAUAGGGCACUCUCACUCGAUCGUUGUAUCAACACGGUUCUGUGCUGCUCAGAUCAGGGUUCGAUUCCCUGGCCGGGAA
rnacentral:tRNA from 1 species